rnacentral:rRNA from 1 species
AUUGAACGCUGGCGGCACGCUUAACACAUGCAAGUCGAACGGCAGCAGGCUUUAAUACCUUCGGGUGUUAAAGUGCUGGCGAGUGGCGGACGGGUGAGUAAUGCGUAGGAAUCUGUCCUAAAGCGGGGGAUAACCCGGGGAAACUCGGGCUAAUACCGCAUACGCUCUGAGGAGGAAAGCUAGGGACCUUCGGGCCUGGCACUUUAGGGUGAGCCUACGUUGGAUUAGCUAGUUGGUAGGGUAAAGGCCUACCAAGGCGACGAUCCAUAGCUGAUAUGAGAGGAUGAUCAGCCACACUGGGACUGAGACACGGCCCAGACUCCUACGGGAGGCAGCAGUGGGGAAUCUUGGACAAUGGGGGCAACCCUGAGCCAGCGAUGCCGCGUGUGUGAAGAAGGCCUGCGGGUUGUAAAGCACUUUCAGUGGGGAGGAAAGCCUUGUGUUGAAUAGACACGAGGGGUGACGUUACCCAAAGAAGAAGCACCGGCUAACUCUGUGCCAGCCGCCGCAGUAAAAC